rnacentral:tmRNA from 1 species
GGGGGCGUAUGGAUUCGACGGAGAUAAUGAGGCGAAAGAGGCAUGCCGAGAUCCCAUCUCUCUCGUUAAACGGUGGAACCCAAGUAAGUGCAGAAACACUUCCUCUCGCUGCUUAAUUAGUUAGGCGGCCGUUCCCCGGACCCGCUCCCACCGGGUCCCCGGAGCGCCAACCCGUGGGAUAGCGAGCCGGGCCGGCCUUGAGCCCGGGGAGCGAAACAACAUCGAGGCUGGCCGAGCGGCCCCUUCCUCUUCGGGAACCGCGAGGCGAGAUGAAAGAAGAGGAUAAGCAUGUAGACUCUUCCCGCUGAAUGUCUUCGGACGCGGGUUCGAUUCCCGCCGCCUCCACCA